UCCAGACACCUAUUAUCAUUUAGGUCCGCUACUUCUUCCCCGAGGAACUCGCAAAGCCGUCUCUAUUUGUGAUUUCUCAGCUUGGUGUUCCUUUCUCUACAAGCCACACAGCACAUACCAUCUACGUGUACUCAACAGUGAGAAAAUCAGUGACUUUCUCCGUCCUCUCUUCCCCUCUCCAAGUUGGAGGAUCCAUCUAGCCAGCGGGGAGCGCGGGAAAGGUUCUGGUUCAAGGCCGCUUUGCCCCAGGAUCCCGGAGCUCCGCUGAACUGGAACUUUGGGAAUACGCAGGUUAUUAAAAGACCGUGACUUCGAUUCCGGUGAUCUUUAUUGGAUUGCUUGCUCUGGAGGAAGCUAGAGGCUACAGCAUGAAGCAACCCGUGGAGACACCUGUGUGAAUGAGCCUAGAGAAGGAUCAUCCAAAGCUUUCCGGCAGCCUUGCAAGGAGCCCCAAAAAGGGAUCCUCCCCAGUGAGGCUUCUAGGCGGCCACACCCUGCUCAUCUGCUCAUCGCUGAGAUU